rnacentral:piRNA from 1 species
UAUAAAAAUAAUAUAAAUUUC